CCUCCACCUUGCUACUUCACCAAACCACACAACCAACCCAAUGUUCAGCAACCCACUAGCCUCAGACCUCUAGAAUGGCUACAGUGGCCACGGAAGAGUGACCCACUCUCUAACUAACUCUUCUACAGACACCCCCACUCCCAGUAUCAAUGUGGAGAACCAGGUAGGAAGAGAAGAAAGGAAUAUGGAGAUUGUGGCUCAUGAUUGUUGAUUACGAACGGCAUUGCAUGGACCUAUACAAACAGUAAUACUGAUGAAGGAAGGCAUGCUGAGCGUUUUGGAAAAGGUCACUUCUUUGGAAAAGAACUUCUUGAAUGGGCUUGGAAACCUUCCUCUGUCAACAUAUUCAACCUAUCCAAACUCCCACUUUCCUCAUAAACCCUCAAAACCCAUACAAAGGUGGAAGCCUUUGCUCUAAUGGCCAACGACUUGAGGGUAAUCUCUAUUCUAGGUUUUCAUGAUUAUACCCAGAGCAAUUGCAAUUUCAGGCAGCUUCCAUUUUACAACGAGUCAGGUGCUGCAGUCAACCAAAGUGUUACUCCAAGAAAACUUAUGAAUCCAGCAGUCCCUGACAUUGUUGUUGCAAAGCAAUGGGGUGUUUUGAUGUCUUUGCUAUAUUAAGAUUUGUUUUUCUAGUGAUGGAGUUGCUACUUGUUUGGAUUCUGAAUGAUAAUGGUGAAAUUAGGAAAAAGGACAACGUGUAAAAUAUUAAACUGUCAGUAAGGAUUGUGCGUAGAACCCUA